rnacentral:rRNA from 1 species
UACGGGGGGAGCAAGCGCUGUUCGGAUUUACUGGGCGUAAAGGGCGCGUAGGCGGCCACUGCAAGUCGGUUGUGAAAUCUCCGGGCUUAACCCGGAAAGGUCAAUCGAUACUGCAGGGCUAGAGUGCAGAAGGGGCAACUGGAAUUCUCGGUGUAGCGGUGAAAUGCGUAGAUAUCGAGAGGAACACCUGCGGCGAAGGCGGGUUGCUGGGCUGACACUGACGCUGAAGCGCGAAAGCUAGGGGAGCGAACGGG